UUUUCAUCCGGCCGCAGCAUCCUGUUAGGCCUGCUGCCCCGCGCUCGCGCCCAAAUCCGACCGCGCUCGCGCCCAAAUUGGCUGCUCCCGCCGCCCUAGCUCGCCCCAGCCCAAUCCCGCAGGGACUCCCGCCGCCCCGCGCUCGCCCCAGUCCGCGGACGUCCCAAUCCCGCACGGAGACGCCGGGCCGCCGCGACCGGAGUUCGGUGGCCAGCUGCCGGGGCAGGCGAGCGGACGCCGCGCGAGGCAGGACCGCGUGGGCGCCGCGUGAGGCAGGCGAGCGGGCGGGGGCCGCGCCGCUGCCCUGAGUCCGGUCAACAAGCUCGGCGGCCCGGACAGUGAGUGCUCUGCUUUUCUUUCCGUCCUGCUUCAGUUCCUCAGAUAAGUUUACUGAUGAAGCCUGCUAGACGUGAAGGCGACGGCUUCAACCAUCCAAUGCAAUCUGCUAGUAUGAUUCUGCUUUUACAGAACAUGUAGGCAUGCAUUGUUCUGGCCGAAUUCUGCUCGGCUUGGCUGCUGACCGGAACAGAAGCGACGCCCAGUCGGUGCUCAGAUUGAUGGGCAUGAAAGGCCUCACUCUGAAAAGCCACCUUCAGAAAUAUAGACUGGGAAGACAGGAAAAGAAAAGCACAGGGCCGGAACUUGCCAACGGUAGUGAUCACCACGCGGCUCGACGGCCUCCGGCGGUGCAUUCCAGUGCCGGCGGCCCCCCUCUCAACAGCCUCCUCUAGGUGACACCAGCCCGCCGCCACCCGCGCGAGCCGCCGCGAGGGCAGACCCGGUGGCCGGCCGCUCCUCUGCUCGCGGCGGCAGGGCCACGGCGGCCACCUCCAGCGCCGGCGUCCUAGCGGCGGAUUCCAGCGCUGGCAGCCCCGGCGGACUGCCGCGACGCCGCCCCCCAGUCCGUCGGCGUCGUCACCGGCGGCGGCCCCGCCGGCCUCCCGCGGCGACGACCCCGGCGGAGUCCCGCGCCAGCAGCCCCAGCCUUCCAUAGCAACAGCCACGGCGGAGUCCCGCGGCGGCGCCGACUCCCCUCCCAGCGGCUGCGGCGGGCGGCUGCGGGGGGCGGAGGAACGGCGGGCGGACGCGCUCUGGGCGAACGUCCUUGGCGGCGUAGUUGAAAACGGGACGAUGAGAAGGCUUGCGACGGGAUGAAAACGGAGGGGCGGGCUCAAAACGGAAGUGCUUGGGCGGACCGGCGCAGCGGAGCGUCCGAUUCAUUUUUAGUGCUCCAGAUGGCUCCAAUGUUUCAUGGUGACAUGCUGUGGCGAUGUUACCGAAUCUGAAUCCCCUCGAGCUGCCGCCCCUGCCCCCGGUCCCGCGAGCCCCAGCAGCCGCUCCUCCCUGUGCCCCGCGAGCACCGCCGGCCGCUGACCGCGCAGCAGCUCAGCCUGCGUCCCGCGAGCACCGUGAGCCCCGGCAGCCGCCCCUUCCUAUACCCCGCGAGCUUUGGGCCUGCGUCCCGCGAGCUCCGCCGGCCACUUGACGCCCCGACCGCGCAGGAAUGGCGUCCGUGCCAGGCUGCCAGCGCUGGAAGGGGCGGCCGCGACUCCGAUGAGAGCCCGGAGCGGGGGCUUCUAGAUGUAAGAGUCUGGAGGUCAAGGAUGAGAGCAUCUCCAACAGAUAAAAAGCUUCUCAAACUGCCAAACUUUCCAACAGACUCUUUAAAACUAGAUUCUCUAUUGCUGCAGUGCCAGUGGACCCCACUUGUCAUACACUCCUAUCUUAUCUUCUUCCUUUCUCCACCGCGAGCCACAUCUCCGCUGCCCCAAGCCCUCUUCGCCGCCGCCGCGUGCCCUCUCGAGCUCCGCUCCGCCGCCGCGCGCCACU